rnacentral:rRNA from 1 species
UACGGGGGGGCGAAGCGUUGUUCGGAAUUACUGGGCGUAAAGGGCUCGCAGGCGGCCGACUAAGUCAGACGUGAAAUCCCUUGGCUUAACCAAGGAAUGGCGUCUGAUACUGGACGGCUUGAAUUCGGGAGAGGGAUGUGGAAUUCCAGGUGUAGCGGUGAAAUGCGUAGAUAUCUGGAGGAACACCGGUGGCGAAGGCGGCAUCCUGGACCGAUAUUGACGCUGAGGAGCGAAAGCCAGGGGAGCAACGGG